GCAUACGUGGUGGAAAUGGAAAUACACAUAGCACUUAAAAUGCUACGCUUAAAUGAUUGAGGGUUCGAGUCCCUCCGUAUGCA
rnacentral:tRNA from 1 species